rnacentral:rRNA from 1 species
GAUGAACGCUGGCGGCGUGCCUAAUACAUGCAAGUCGAGCGAACGGACGAGAAGCUUGCUUCUCUGAUGUUAGCGGCGGACGGGUGAGUAACACGUGGAUAACCUACCUAUAAGACUGGGAUAACUUCGGGAAACCGGAGCUAAUACCGGAUGAUAUUUUGAACCGCAUGGUUCAACAGUGAAAGACGGUCUUGCUGUCACUUAUAGAUGGAUCCGCGCUGCAUUAGCUAGUUGGUAAGGUAACGGCUCACCAAGGCAACGAUGCAUAGCCGACCUGAGAGGGUGAUCGGCCACACUGGAACUGAGACACGGUCCAGACUCCUACGGGAGGCAGCAGUAGGGAAUCUUCCGCAAUGGGCGAAAGCCUGACGGAGCAACGCCGCGUGAGUGAUGAAGGUCUUCGGAUCGUAAAACUCUGUUAUUAGGGAAGAAGAUAUGUGUAAGUAACUGUGCACAUCUUGACGGUACCUAAUCAGAAAGCCACGGCUAACUACGUG